GGCUGCCCGCGUGGGGUCGGCUGCGGCCCGGCAGAGUUGGCGCGCGAGGGUGUGGAAGCCGAGAGGUGAUCCUGCCGACCGCACCGCGGACGCGUGCGGGACGCUGUCCCCUGUCUACUCCGCGCUCCCAGGUGCCUGUGAUGAAUGACACAUCGAUCAACCCAUAGUCUUCAGACAUUGCCGUGUGAAGCCAAUGAAAGAUGUCUGCUGGUAACCAAAUGAUGAUCUUAUGAAAAGACCGUGGGGACUAUGAGCUAUCCUGGGGUUCCACGUGCCAGAGACAUGAAGAAAGCAGAGCGGUCCCAGAGAAAAGUGACCGUGGAGGAGGAGCUUCCGCCACAAGGGAGAGAAUAGGAUGUCGCACGAAAAGAACCGGGCUGCCCGAGAACGCUUUCCAGGUCAGACUGUUGGCUGCUUCUUCCCUGUAGCUAAAUAAAGGACCAUCUUCAAAGGACGAGAAGGCGAGUCCAUCUGGUCUCCGUGAUUGCACUGGUCAGGGGAGUCCCAGCCAAGUCCCAAGCUUUCGCUAUGUGGACAGUCAGCUCAUACCACCCAGAAUCUACAUCUGGCUGCCAAAUGCACCUUGCUCUGGCCACCCACAUGCACGAGAUCCAAUGAGCAACAGCCUCCGCAUUCUCCUGGCUGAACAAAGAGGGCGAUUGCCACAAGCAGGGCUAUUGUUCAGUUGGCAUUGGCAUCAAAGGCCCAGGCCAGCUCCCCUUUGUCUGUCAGCUGCUAUUCAGAAGGAAAAGAGAAGAAAAGCAAACCAAUAGGUUUCUUGGAGAGAAUCAUCUGUGGACGUGGGACGUUUGCUGUAGUGCUGCGCUAACGUGAUUGUAAUAACAACUUGUAAAGCCUACUUAACAUGGAGAGCCUUACCAGCCCAUAUUCCAAAAUGUCACGGUGCCUGCUUAUAACGGGCAUACUGUUUCCCGGAUUUAGAGCUCUUUAGACUUGAGUCAUCCCUGCCUGCUUCUGUGUGACAAGGUCUGGGCACGGCGUUUUGGAGCACAUUGUCACAGGGAUGGUAACCUUUUUACCCUACGUCAGCAUUAAGAACAUGGCGUCUUGCCUUCAGAUAACAUUCUGCAAGAGACUCUUCCGCAGAAAGCCAGAUUUUUUCUCACCUGGCUCUUUGCCCGUCUCAGGCCACCAACAGCAAUGGGCUUUUGACACCUUCACAUAUGUCAGGUUUUUUUUCUUCUGACUCUUUCGCCCGCACUGGAGGAUGAAGGGUCAGGCAGAUACAGUCCUCCCUGGCAGGCAGGAGUAUUGUUUUGUGUGCGGGUCAAAAAUUUUAUUUGUAUUAUGAGAUCUUCCUGACACGUGGGAAAAGAACAGGUAAUAAAAAUAACGAACGUGCGGUUUCCGCCUCUAGGCUUGAAAAAAAUGACAAAACACCGGUGUCCUGUGCACCCAUUCUGAUCGCCUUCCUCUCU